GAUCCUGGCUCAGGAUGAACGCUGGCGGCGUGCUUAACACAUGCAAGUCGAGCGAAGCACUUUGGAAAGAUUCUUCGGAUGAUUUCCUUUGUGACUGAGCGGCGGACGGGUGAAGGUAACGCGUGGGUAACCUGCCUCAUACAGGGGGAUAACAGUUAGAAAUGACUGCUAAUACCGCAUAAGACCACGGUACCGCAUGGUACAGUGGUAAAAACUCCGGUGGUAUGAGAUGGACCCGCGU
rnacentral:rRNA from 1 species